UAGACCUGCGAAGGUUAACCAACGAAAAAAGACCUACGAAGGUUAAGCAGAGCUACGAGUACGAGAACCACGCCCAGCCGCCAUAGUGGAGUCCUACGCCGCCAUCGAGAUCCGAGAGGAGCCGCCGCCGCCGAGAUCCGAGAUGAGCUGGCCACCGGACACCAUGACCUCCCUCCCCAGUCGGCCGCCACCUCCCCCUCCCCCAGCAGCCAUGUACAGCGGGGCAGCGAUGGGUAUCGGCCUCCCUCCUCCCUUCGCCCAAGGCUAGGAACUCCCCUCCCCUACCCGAUCUCCUCCCUUCGUGCAAGGCCACGAGCUCCCCUCCCCUACCCGAUCUGACGGAGAGAGGGCCAGGUCUUGCCACUCCGGUGUUUGAUGUGGCCAGAUCCGGCCGGGGGAUUCGCCGCAGAGCCUCCAUGUCGGUGGAGCAGCAGCAGCCCGACAGAAGAUCCAGCGCUCAAAUAAGAUUAGGAGGAAGGGCAUCACACUCUCCGGGAGCAAACAAGAUACCACAUACCGAUCCUGAUUCGGAAUUAUGACAGGGAGUCAGGGACACAAUCAAAUUUAUACCAUCCGUUGUGAUUCAAUUUGACCAUUUCAUUAAAAUUUCCGGAUGGAUCUUAAUUCCUCGGGAAUGAUGUGGUUCUGGAGUCUAUUGUUAAUCUCUUCUGUCGCAGAUGUUUCACAAAUCCAACUACCAUGUUGAUUUUCUGAUCAUUCUUUGAUGGCGGCAAUGAAGCAGCAGGCUCCGGAGAGCGUGCAGGGGAGGAAGGAGUUCCUGGUGGAGGUGCUGAUGCUGACGGUGCUCAGCCAGCCUAACUUCGUCAGCCUGGUCGGCUUCUGCGCGCAGGGGGACAAGCGCCUGCUAUUGUACGAGUACAUGCCCUUCGGCAACCUAGAGAGCCAUCUCUUUGGAAUACUUCGUCUCAACUUGCUCUCUGUUUGGUCCAGUUCAUCUCUGCAAUGCAGUUAAUAUGCACAAAUUGGACGGACAAAUGUUGAUAGAGGAGGAGAACACCAUGCAAUAAAAAGAAACACCCAAGCGCAGAUCUGUUUCAACGCAGACGGUACCUGAUGCUAAUAUAAUUUGCCGGCGUAGCAGCGAUCCAUCCAACACGGCAAGAGAUACCUAGGCACUCGGUGCUAUUUCUCGUGUCAAUGCACCCCCUAUGCCGGGAAUCGAUGGCUCAACCGACAAUCGAGCAGGAUGGAUAUCCUAGCGCCUCUAUAUUAGCACCCACAAGGAAAGUAAACAUAGGCGCAUAUUGUGUUCAACGUGAUGAUACAAGCGAGAGUUGGCCUGCACCGCCAACUGAUCUGCGGCAGCGU